GAUGAAGAACGCAGCGAAAUGCGAUAAGUAAUGUGAAUUGCAGAAUCCAGUGAAUCAUCGAUUCUUUGAACGCACAUUGCGCCCGCCAGCAUUCUGGCGGGCAUGCCUGUUCGAGCGUCAUUUCAACCCUCGACCUCCCUUUGGGGAAGUCGGCGUUGGGGACCGGCAGCACACCGCCGGCCCUGAAAUGGAGUGGCGGCCCGUCCGCGGCGACCUCUGCGUAGUAAUCCAACUCGCACCGGAACCCCGACGCGGCCACGCCGUAAAGCACCCAACUUCUGAACGUUGACCUCGAAUCAGGUAGGACUACCCGCUGAACUUAAGCAUAUCAAUAAGCGGAGGA
rnacentral:misc_RNA from 1 species